CAUCAGAAAUUCCUCACAAUAAUAUUUUUUUGAUGGGGAAGAAAAAACUCCUUUAGGCUUAUCUCCUAAGAGAGAUCCAAUUCAAUGUCAUCGAGCCUUCCACCGUCUCAUGGCGUCAUUCAUCCAUGUCAUAUCUUAUUUUUUAGUGCACAAACAAACAGAAGCCACUCCCCUUUACGCUGUCUUGCCAAGCAACGAAAGGGAAUAUAUUUUACUCCUCUAUUGUAUGUACGUGGAAACUCGAGACCAGCCUUCUUUUCCCCCGGUUUGGUUUGCUUG
rnacentral:lncRNA from 1 species